GGUCUGGUUUCUAAGUCAGAACUAGUCUGACCCCAGACUCAGCCUAGUUUCUAAAUCAAAACCAGUCUGACCCUGGACCCCGUCCAGUUUUUAAGUCGGAACCAGUCUGACCCUGGACCCAGUCCUACUCUGGCAAGUUUCUGGACCCAGUCUGGCAAAAGAAUCCUCAAAUAAAGUCUUAAAGCUCGUCAUGAAAGACUAUAGAGCUAAGAACCGACAGGGACUUAACCAUGACCUCCAGAAGCAGCAAGAAAGCAGCCAGAUCACGGGACUCAGCAGGUGAGGGUGUAAUGAGAAGGUGGCUGCUACAACCAGGAAGAGGGUCCUCACCACAACCCGACCAUGGUGGUAUCCUGAUCUCAGACUUCCAGUCUCCAAAACGUCCAGGUUUUCCAGAAAGCAGACCUGAGGCAAGACUCCUGUGCUCGACUUUGUCAGUGAGUGCGACCACAGGAGCCAGAGAAAAGGACAGAGAGAGUCCAGCGGGGAAGGAGAGGAACCGGGGGCAAAGACGCCUUAGCGAGCUGGCUGCCUCCAAGUGUGACUGAGGCUCAGCCCCGCCAAACCGCCCAGACGUGCCUCACGCUCUCCCCUGGCUCCAGGACUCAGAUGCUUUUCUGCACAACUUCUGGAAGCUUUUGAAUCCUUUCACAAACAAAACUCCACACCUCCCUCCGAGCUGACUCAUGAACUUCCUGCAUUCCGGCUAUAAACUCUCCUGUAUGUGUGUCACGCUGCAUACGUGAAAGAGAUGCCCUAGAGUAGUGGCUUUCAAACUUUAGUGUGCAUUUGAAUGGCCUGGAGCACCUACAAAAAUCCCCAAGCUCCAUCUCCAAGGAUUCUAAGAAUCCUUCUGAGGUCGAGUCCAGGAAUCUACAUCUCUACAACCUCCCUGAUGAUCCUGAAGCACGUGGUCCACUGACUUUCCCUUUGAGAACCACUGACUAGUGUACAUGUCUAGGAGGAGAAUGCCAGAUCCUAGGUCAUACACAUCUUUAACUUUACUUUGAAAUUCAAAAUUGUCUUUGAAAGUGGUUAUGCCACUGAUACUCCCACCAAAAGAGUGGAAGAGUUUCCAUUGUUUCACAUCCUUGCCAAUAUCUCAGAAAUUUUUCUGUUUGCUAAUUCUGUGGGUAUUAACUCGAAUUUCCUUGUGAUUUUCAUUUGAAUUUCUAAUUAUUCAUGAGAUUGGGCAUCUGUUCAUAUUAUUUCAUUGUUGUGUCCUCUUUACCAAAGUACUGUUCAAAACUUUUUCCUGGUUUUCUAUUGUUAGUAGUUUCUUAUUGAUUUGUAGGGGAAAUUUCUCCUGUUGGUCAGAGAGAUGAUGAAAAAGAAUGCAGAAGAGAUGAGAUGUGAGAAGGACUUCACCACCAUUGCCGGCUUUGAAGAUGAAGGGGUCCAUGAGCCAAAGAAUGUGGGAUGGCCUCUAGAAGCUGAGAACAACAUGAGGCCAACAGCCAGCAAGGAGACUUCAGCUGGAGACUUCAGCACUACAACUGCAUGGAACUAAGUUCUGCCAACAACCUGCAUGCAGCAGGGAGCAUCCGCUCCCCCAGGGCCGUCAGUAAGGAAAGCUGUCCUGGCACCUUGGUUCUAGCCUGGUAAGACCCGUAUGUACUUCUGACCUAUAAAACUGUAAGAUGAUAAAUUUGUGUUGUUUUAAGCUGUUAAAUUUGUGGUCAUGUGUUAUGACAGCAAUAGAAAACUAAUACAAAAGUAUGUGUGCUUUCCAGUUGUGUGCAGUGUUUUAUAUUUAUCCAUUAGAUGAAGUUUGUUAAUUAUGUUUAGAUCAACUGUAUCCUUACUCAUUAUCUGUCUUAUGAAUAAUUGUGAAAGAUAAAGGUGGAUUUUUUUCAGUUUCUCUUUAUAGAUCUGUUAAUUUUUGCUUUAUGUGUUUUGAAGCCAUGUUAAGUAUUAGUCAUUAAGAAUUGUUAUAGUGAUAAUUGUCAUAUUUGUAACCCACUCUGAAAAUCUUUGUCAUUUAAAAGCGUAGUUUAGUUUGUUAAAUUCAUUGAAGUUAGUGAGACAUUUGGAUUCCUCUAUGCUCCCUUAGUUUGUGGUUUUCAUUUGUCCUUCCUGUUCUACUUCUCUUUUUUCUCCUUUCUUGCCUUUUUUUAGGUUUGAUCAUAUUUCUCUUUCCCUCAUUCUCUUUUUACUCUCUCCAAAGUCGUGAGUUUUAUACUCUAUUGCUAUACUUUUACUGACUACCUUAAACAUUUUAAUAUAAGUAAUUAAUGUUUUUAAAUACAAAGUUAAUAUUUCUUCUUAAAACAAUAAAAGGAACUUAGACCAUUUUAAUUCUGAUCACCCCAUGCUAACUUCUUUGCUAUUUUCUUUCAAUAUUUUAGUUAUAUCUCAUUUUCAUCAAUCCCACAAAUUAGACAAUUAUUGUUUUAUAAAGUGAAUUUUCACUUAGUUCUACAUACAUAUUUAUCAAGUUCUGUGCUUAUGUUUUAUCCUUGAAUAUUAAAUUUUCAUUUGGGAUCAUUUUUCUUCUGCCUGAAGAAUAUCACUUAGAAUUUCCUUUCAUGUUGGUAUUUUGACAGAAAACUCUGUUUUU
ensembl:lncRNA